UUCCGUAGGUGAACCUGCGAAGGAUCAUUAAUAAAUUUUUUUUGAAAUAAAAAAAAAAUAAUAUCAUCCUACCCUUUGUGAUUUGUUUGUUGAAUAAUUUUUUAAAAUUAUUCAUUGUCUAUCCAAGUGGAAAGUUGAAAAGCUGAAGACUUGGAGCGGCAUAAAUAAUUUAAAGACUUUUUUUAAAAUUAAACUUUUGUAUUCAUUUGUCUAAAUAAUUUUUAUAAUAUAUAAAACAACUUUUGACAAUGGAUCUCUUGGUUCUCGCAACGAUGAAGAACGCAGCAAAAUGCGAUAAGUAAUGUGAAUUGCAGAAUACGUGAAUCAUGAAUCUUCGAACGCAUAUUGCACUUUUUAGUUUACUAAAAAAGUAUGUCUGUUUGAGUAUCAGUAAAUAUUCUCAUAAAAUUUUUAGUUUUAUGGUUAUGAGUGUUUUACAACGAUAAACAAGUUGUUUCACUUUAAAUUGAAUUUUUUUGAAGAAAUUCUUUAAUUCAAAUUAAAUUUGGAUAAAAUUUUCCGUAAAAGGAAUAACUAUACAAGUUUAAUAAGAAUUUAGUGAUUUCUUUUAUGAAAAGGAAAUUUAUUAAAUAACUUGAUCUCAAAUCAGAUAAGAGUACCCGCUGAACUUAAGCAUAUCAAUAAGCGGAGGAAAAGAAACUAACAAGGAUUCCCUAGUAACGGCGAGUGAAGCGGGAAGAGCUCAAAUUUGAAAUCUUAAAGGGUUUCCUUUACGAAUUGUAGUUUAAAGAAGUGUUUUCUGUUGAGGUUUUGGUAAAAGUUCUUUGGAAUAGGACAUCAUAGAGGGUGAGAAUCCCGUAUUGACCUUUACUUUCAACUUUGUGAUACACUUCAAAGAGUCGGAUUGUUUGGGAAUGCAGUCCAAAAUGGGUGGUAAAUUUCAUCUAAAGCUAAAUAUUGGCGAGAGACCGAUAGCGAACAAGUACCGUGAGGAAGAUGAAAAGAACUUUGAAAGAGAGUUAAACAGUACGUGAAAUUGUCAAAAGGGAAGCGUUUGACACCAGUGUUGUUUUUCUGAAAAUCAAUUAAAGAACUGUUUAUGCUAAGCUGUUUAGACUUUAUCAGCUAUCUGUUUAGUUUUGAGCUUUUCUUUAAUGCACUUUUCAGUUAACAAGUCAACAUCAAUUUCUUUUGCUGUAAAAAAGCUUGAGGAAGGUGGCUUGAGAUUCGUCUUAAGUGUUUAUAGCCUCUUGCCUAUGCAGUCGGAGAGAUUGAGGUCUGCAGCGUAGAUCCUUCGGGCUAAAUGCAUUUGUGCUAAGUUAUAGCAUUUUAUAGACAACUUGUUGACUAUGAUUUGUCUUGUAGCUUACUCGCUUAUGUUAUUU
rnacentral:misc_RNA from 1 species